AAGUCGUAACAAGGUUUCCGUAGGUGAACCUGCGGAAGGAUCAUUAGCUUAACACCCACUUAAUGUUUCGAAAGGAACCUCUUAGUGAUUACUACGCUUGUGCACAUUAAACCUGUAUAUUUGGUAGUCCAGUUCCGAUUUUAUUAUUGGAACGUCUGGUUUCAAUAUUUUGUUGAUACUAGGGGCUGCCAAAAGUUUGCUAAACACAAACAACACUUGCUUUUUUUUAAUAAAUAUUAUUAUAUUGUCUUAAACUAAAACUAUUAUUUUAUAAUAUAAAAUAACAACUUUUGACAACGGAUCUCUUGGCUCUC
rnacentral:misc_RNA from 1 species